AUUGAACGCUGGCGGCAGGCCUAACACAUGCAAGUCGAGCGAGUGGCGGACGGGUGAGUAAUGUAUGGGGAACUGCCCGAUGGCGGGGGAUAACUACUGGAAACGGUAGCUAAUACCGCAUACCAUCGGAUGUGCCCAGAUGGGAUUAGCUAGUAGGUGAGGUAACGGCUCACCUAGGCGACGAUCCCUAGCUGGUCUGAGAGGAUGAUCAGCCACACUGGGACUGAGACACGGCCCAGACUCCGACGGGAGGCAGCAGUGGGGAAUCUUGCACAAUGGGCGAAAGCCUGAUGCAGCCAUGCCGCGUGUAUGAAGAAGGCCUUCGGGUUGUAAAGUACUUUCAGUAGGGAGGCGUUACCGGCAGAAGAAGCACCGGCUAACUCCGUGCCAGCAGCCGCGGUAAUUC
rnacentral:rRNA from 1 species